rfam:Bacillus badius strain MTCC 1458 Contig19, whole genome shotgun sequence.
CAAACCUAAACGACCUAAGCCCUGCCUUCUCUUAAGUCCUUGCGGCUCCGAAGCCGCUCCAGUGUGAAUAAGUAUUACUUGUUAAAC